GUGGGGAAUAUUGGACAAUGGGGGGAACCCUGAUCCAGCCAUGCCGCGUGCAGGAUGAAGGCCUUCGGGUUGUAAACUGCUUUUGUACGGAACGAAAAGACUCCUUCUAAUAAAGGGGGUCCAUGACGGUACCGUAAGAAUAAGCACCGGCUAACUACGUGCCAGCAGCCGCGGUAAUACGUAGGGUGCAAGCGUUAAUCGGAAUUACUGGGCGUAAAGCGUGCGCAGGCGGUUAUAUAAGACAGAUGUGAAAUCCCCGGGCUCAACCUGGGAACUGCAUUUGUGACUGUAUAGCUAGAGUACGGUAGAGGGGGAUGGAAUUCCGCGUGUAGCAGUGAAAUGCGUAGAUAUGCGGAGGAACACCGAUGGCGAAGGCAAUCCCCUGGACCUGUACUGACGCUCAUGCACGAAAGCGUGGGGAGCAAACAGGAUUAGAUACCCUUGUAGUCC
rnacentral:rRNA from 1 species